AACGAACGCUGGCGGCAGGCCUAACACAUGCAAGUCGAGCGCCCUUUCGGGGGAGCGGCGGCCGGGUGAGUAACGCGUGGGAAUAUGCCCUUCUCUACGGAAUAGCCUCGGGAAACUGAGAGUAAUACCGUAUACGCCCUGUGGGGGAAAGAUUUAUCGGGGAAGGAUUAGCCCGCGUUGGAUUAGGUAGUUGGUGGGGUAAUGGCCUACCAAGCCGACGAUCCAUAGCUGGUUUGAGAGGAUGAUCAGCCACACUGGGACUGAGACACGGCCCAGACUCCUACGGGAGGCAGCAGUGGGGAAUCUUAGACAAUGGGGGCAACCCUGAUCUAGCCAUGCCGCGUGAGUGAUGAAGGCCUUAGGGUUGUAAAGCUCUUUCAGCUGGGAAGAUAAUGACGGUACCAGCAGAAGAAGCCCCGGCUAACUCCGUG
rnacentral:rRNA from 1 species